rnacentral:lncRNA from 1 species
CGAAAGAUAGAUUGAGUAAAUGCCUAAAGCAUACUACGGAUUUGUGAGUUAUAUUAUUUCCGAAAUUAAGAUUAUUGAGGCUUAAGAGUUAUGGAAAUUGAGAUUAUGGGAGCAAAAUUAAGGCUUAUUUGAAAAUUAUUCAUAAGAAACAACGCAGGUAGGGGUGACAUUAAAUUUCUAGACAUGACAAGUGAUAGCUUCACCUCUACAUUAUCCGGGAAACUUGAACAUGAAAGAACAUAGAUAAAUUCUAUAGUUUACCAAUCUCACCCAAUUUUAACAUUCAAACAAAUAAAUUUUGGAAGUCCUAACUGCAUGACUAUCUGCCAAUAUUUCCUGCUAAUCCACCUUAAUAGCCCAGCCCAAGGAGAAAAAUGGCUACUUAGACCAAUAAUGAAAUUCUACAACCAAGUAAGAACAAAUAAUCGGAGAAAACACAUCUCCUUCACACAGGUUUCACAAGGAACAAAAUAAGUAGUUAUUAACACUAUGACAAAACAAAACCAAAUGGAAACAGCACACACACACACCACUGUGUAGACCAAAAAUCCGGUAGAUCUUCAUUCAAUAUCAAGAUACACAAAGAAGGAUCAUUAAAAUUUAAUUAAGAACUAACCCAAAAUCCUAGUAGAGGAGAUCGAACCCAACGCCAAAAUAGAGAAUCGGAACUGAAGCUAAUGAAUGGAAACUCUGACGAAACUCGAACUCGACGGCAAUAGGACCCAACUUCAGCGACUGGAACCACGACCAAACAGCUACUCGCACUUGAACGGUUUGAAAGCUAUUUACGAGGUGUGGCUGUUGCUAUGUGUGUUUUAGUAGAAAUGAAAAAAGGGGGUCAUUGUCCAUUAACUUCUAUCUGGUGAUCGUUUUUUGUGUUCGAUUUUGUGAAGAAGAAGGGGUAACGGUUAUGGGGGGUCUGAUCUUUGGAGUUGUCGCUGGAUGAGGAAGAUGAAUAAGGUGGGGGUCCUGAAUUCCAGCGGCUGUUGUUUUAGUCUUAGGUCUCCUCUUGUGUUAGAAUCUGAUGAAGUUAGGGUGUGUCUAUUGCUAGUUUUAGGGGUGAUGGGUUUUUGAUUGUGAAGAUGGAAGAAGAGAGCAGGGGUCGUUGGUUUAGUUAAGGAGAAGCCAUGGAAAUUUGGCUCUUCUUCUCUGAAGAAGAAGAAGAUCGAUAGGGGGUGUGGGGUCUUGGUGUAAAACAGAGGAUCUCUUGAGUGUAUAGGUCUAGGACUUCUUUUUAUUAGGGAUUCUAGAUUUUAGGUUAUUAGGGAUAGCUUAGUGGGUAUUGGGCUUGGGUUGUUAUGAGCUAGGUCCGAAAAUUAGGCCUAAAAAUGGGUCGUUUGAGCCCAAAUUUUAUUCUUUCUUCACGAACGAAACUAAAAAUACGACCUCAUUUACUAAUUAAUCCUACUUAAGUAAAAUAACUAUUAAAAUAAAACUAACCGUUAAAACAAACCUACUUUUUUGGUAUUUUCAAAUAUCAUAUUAAAAUAAAAAUAAGGUACUAUUUUGUAUAUUUUUUAAGUUUUAUUAAAGGUAUAUAAACUAAAAGCUAAUAAAAAAAGAAGAAAUAUUUUUGUAAUUUUCAUUUUGUGACGAAAUAAAGUAAAAGAGUCAAAAUUAGUUGAAAUAACUAUAUUAGACCUAAACUAAGUAUUUAAAUGCUAAAAUAUGUAAAAUCUUGGAGAGGGUCAACAAUCACAUGUCUACAGCUGCCCCUCUUUGACUAGAAACAUGAAGUAUUUUCUGACAAAGAACGACUCGACAGAUUUUUUGACCCAGCCCUUAUUUAGGGAGACCAAAAACUAAAAGAAAGGAGAAUGUGACUGAGCCCUGGUAUCCGAGUUGCCUACAUAUCCUUGGUUAUAAAAGGAAUCAGGCCACGUGCAGUUUAGAAGUAGAACCGUGAUGGAGUGUACCAAGGUGGAGAGCCGAUUGAGGUGUCAUUCCGUCGAGGUUCCGGUCCGCGGUCCUGUUAUUUUAUGAAAAUCAAAAAAUGAAAAAAGACUAACUAAGCCUAUCAGCUACGAGUUACAAGAUUCCUAUCUAUGAGUUCUCAAGCUUGAUCAUGUUCUUCAGGCAGGAUUCUCCUGAUGCUUCUUGAACUCAAAAAUUGAAUAUUGACUCUGUUCUUCAAGUGGGCUCCCGGUGCCUCCCUGACUUGAAAUUGUAAACUCAAAGUUGACCCUGUUCUUCAAGUGGGAUUCUCCUGACGCUUCUCUAACAUUGAAGUUAAAAACUGAACAUGUUCUUCAGGCAGGCUCCUGAUGCCUCCCUGACAUGAACUUGUAAACUGAAAGUUGACCCUGUUCUUCAGGCGGACUCCUGCUGUCUUUAACUUUAAUCUUGAAAACUAAAAGUUGAUCCUGUUCUUCAGGCGGACUCCUGUUGUCUUUGACUUGAAUCUUGAAAACUAGAAGUUGAUCCUGUUCUUCAGGCGGGAUCCUCCUGAUGCCUCUGACUUGACCUUGAAAACUGAAAGUUGACCCUGUUCUUCAGGCGGGAUUCUUCUGAUGCCUUUCCGACUUAAAAUUGAAAACUGAACAUGUUCUUCUGGCGUGCUCCUGAUGCCUCCCUGACUUGAACUGAAUUCCCUUGUUUCUCCAGGUGGGCACCUGUUAAUAAUUGAACUGAAUUACCUUAUUUCUCCAUGUGGGACGCCUGCUGUCAAUACUUGAACUGAAUUCCCUUGUUUAUCUGGUUGGGGCGCCUGCUAUCAAUACUUGAACUGAAUUCCCUUAUUUCUCUAGGUGGGCGUCU